CAGCCGCCACGGGAAUACGAAGGGUGCAAGCGUUACUCGGAAUUACUGGGCGUAAAGCGUGCGUAGGUGGUGGUUUAAGUCCGUUGUGAAAGCCCUGGGCUCAACCUGGGAAUUGCAGUGGAUACUGGGUCACUAGAGUGUGGUAGAGGAUAGUGGAAUUUCCGGUGUAGCAGUGAAAUGCGUGGAGAUCGGAAGGAACAUCUGUGGCGAAGGCGACUAUCUGGGCCAACACUGACACUGAGGCACGAAAGCGUGGGGAGCAAACAGGAUUAGAUACCCCAGUAGUCCCCUGUCUCUUAUA
rnacentral:rRNA from 1 species